ACUGAACUUCUGAUUCGUUUGUACAGGUUUCUGUGCUUGGCCACGUUACAGUGCCGUCAUCCAGCCUUCAAGCAUGGUUCAGAAGCCAUGAACCACAAAUCAGCAUGUUUCCUUCCAGUUUCCAAUGAGCACUCUGACAGCAUCACUUAGCAUGCCAGUAUUCAACAUUGUGCAGAUCAUCUCUGUAAAGAUGGCUGUGUUGCUUCAGUUGCCACAUUUCUAC